AGAGUUUGAUCCUGGCUCAGGAUGAAUGCUGGCGGCGUGCCUAACACAUGCAAGUCGAGCGGCAGCGCGGGUAGUUUACUACCUGGCGGCGAGCGGCGGACGGCUGAGUAACGCGUGGGAACGUGCCCCAAAGUGAGGAAUAACUGCCCGAAAGGGUGGCUAAUGCCGCAUAUGAUCUUCGGAUUAAAGUCUUCGGACGCUUUGGGAGCGGCCCGCGUCGGAUUAGGUUGUUGGUGAGGUAAUGGCUCACCAAGCCGACGAUCCGUAGCUGGUCUGAGAGGAUGAUCAGCCAGACUGGAACUGAGACACGGUCCAGACUCCUACGGGAGGCAGCAGUGAGGAAUCUUCCACAAUGGGCGAAAGCCUGAUGGAGCAACGCCGCGUGCAGGAUGAAGGCCCUCGGGUCGUAAACUGCUUUUAUAAGUGAAGAAUAUGACGGUAACUUAUGAAUAAGCACCGGCUAACUACGUGCCAGCAGCCGCGGUCAUACGUAGGGUGCAAGCAUUAUCCGGAGUGACUGGGCGUAAAGAGUUGCGUAGGUGGUUUGUUAAGUAGGUAGUGAAAUCUGGCGGCUCAACCGUACAGGCUAUUACCUAAACUGGCAAACUCGAGAAUGGUAGAGGUAACUGGAAUUUCUUGUGUAGGAGUGAAAUCCGUAGAUAUAAGAAGGAACACCAAUGGCGUAGGCAGGUUACUGGACCAUUUCUGACACUGAGGCACGAAAGCGUGGGGAGCGAACGGGAUUAGAUACCCCGGUAGUCCACGCCGUAAACGAUGGAUACUAGCUGUUGGAGGUAUCGACCCCUCCAGUAGCGAAGCUAACGCGUUAAGUAUCCCGCCUGUGGAGUACGGUCGCAAGACUAAAACAUAAAGGAAUUGACGGGGACCCGCACAAGCGGUGGAUUGUGUUCUUUAAUUCGAUGAUAAACGAUGAACCUUACCAGGGCUUGACAUCCCGAGAAUUUUGCCGAAAGGCGAGAGUGCUUUAUUGAACUCGGUGACAGAUCUUGCAUGGCCGUCGUCA
rnacentral:rRNA from 1 species